AGCGAACGCUGGCGGCAGGCCUAACACAUGCAAGUCGAACGAAGUCUUCGGACUUAGUGGCGGACGGGUGAGUAACACGUGGGGACGUGCCCUUAGGUUCGGAAUAACUCAGGGAAACUUGUGCUAAUACCGAAUGUGCCCUUCGGGGGAAAGAUUUAUCGCCUUUAGAGCGGCCCGCGUCUGAUUAGCUAGUUGGUGAGGUAAAGGCUCACAAAGGCGACGAUAAGUAGCUGGUCUGAGAGGAUGAUCAGCAACAUUGGGACUGAGACACGGCCCAAACGCCUACGGGAGGCGGCAGUGGGGAAUCUUGCGCAAUGGGCGAAAGCCUGACGCAGCCAUGCCGCGUGAAUGAUGAAGGUCUUAGGAUUGUAAAAUUCUUUCACCGGGGACGAUAAUGACGGUACCCGGAGAAGAAGCCCCGGCUAACUUCGUGCCAGCCGCCGCCGUAAUAC
rnacentral:rRNA from 1 species